GGGUUUAAAUGGGAAGUGACAGACUUGGAAACAGGUUUUUCUUCGGACACUUUUCAAGGUGCUGCAUGGUUGUCGUCAGCUCGUGCCGUGAGGUGUCGGGUUAAGUCCCAUAACGAGCGCAACCCCUAUCGGUAGUUACCAGCACAUAAUGGUGGGGACUCUGCCGAGACUGCCGGUGUAAACCGCGAGGAAGGUGGGGAUGACGUCAAAUCAGCACGGCCCUUACAUCCAGGGCUACACACGUGUUACAAUGGCAGGUACAGAGGGCUGCGAAGCCGCGAGGUGGAGCGAAUCCCAGAAAACCUGUCUCAGUCCGGAUUGAAGUCUGCAACUCGACUUCAUGAAGGCGGAAUCGCUAGUAACCGCGAAUCAGCAGGUCGCGGUGAAUACGUUCCCGGGCCUU
rnacentral:rRNA from 1 species